ACACCCACACAGCGCUUCCUAAAGGCAGGGACAGGAGCUGGCCUCCCUCGCCUGCUGGCAUGGGGCUGGACACAGGAGGAAGUGGCGUGGGGGCUGCCUGAGGGGAGUGAGGCGGCAGGAUAGCUUCCCCAGCAGGUCUCUGGCUCAGGUCCAGGUAUCUCCUCCUCCCCAUACCUCUGCCUCUCGCCUCCGCUCAGAAAAGCAGGUGCCCUUAAGAGCCAUCUCCACCCCCAUGUAAACUGCACACAGGAAGGGAGAGGCCACUCCGACUGCUCUGAGGUCCAGGGAAGGGGCCUGUGCUGCCGCUUGGAGGGUGCCAUGCCCAGAGCCUCUGCCCCUAGCCUCAGCCUCGCCUACUCACUGGGGGCUCCAGCACCCCCGGCCACCCCAGGACUCCCGAAGAGGCUGCUAGGUCGGCCUGCCCAAAGAGCGGUGAGGAGCGUAUGUGAAGAGCCCCAGUCUUGAGGAGCAGCCUGUAUCUGGAGAGAGGGGAGCCCCGGACCAGAGGUGGGGGACAGGAAGCCAUCGCCCCACCCUGCCUCCUCCCCCACCACAGGUGGCCCUCGCCCCGGCCCACCCGCGCCUCCCAGGCCCAGCCUCACCUGCUGCCGAGAGAGGACAGUGAUCCCCCAAAAGCCGGAGGUGGAGGAGGAGGAGGAAGAGGAGGAAGGAGCUGGAGGAGCCGGGGACUCGCCCGCUGAAGAUGCUCUUGUCAAGACAAUGAAUGAGAAGCAGCCGUGCGCCCGCCUCCGGGGUGGCCGCGCCCCUUGGGGCGGAGCUCUUCCAGGCCCGCCCUGCGCUCCCGGGCUCCCGCUGCGGCCGCCUCUCUCCCCGGCCCCUGCCCGUGCACCACGUUGGUCCCCAACCAUAGCGCAGGCUGCCAUCCCGGCUCCGGGAAGCGAAUCUAAACUUCUUUUUAAAAUGUCAAAACGCAA